rnacentral:tRNA from 1 species
GCCGAAGUGGUGGAACUGGCAGACACGCCAUCUUGAGGGGGUGGUGGGAUUUCCCGUGGGGGUUCGAGUCCCCCCUUCGGCACCA